GACAGGGGAACAUAAGACCCGGUGAACAUAGGACCCGGGGAACAUAGGUACGCUCCCAUUAUUGUGUGUACAUCUCUAAGAUAAAUCAAAAGAUAGAAAUGAGGUAGGCUACUGGGUGGGUUUAAGUUUAAAAGUUGUAUGUGUGUUUCAAAUGUCAGUCUGUUUCACACUGUUUAUCAGAGAUGAAUAGCCUAAUGUUUAUGUUGUGUUAUAUUUUGCUUUGCAGUUGAGAAGAUAGCCAGGGAGCCUGUUGCUGGGUGGAGCUGUCUUGUUACUGUACGCGACCAUGUCUGAAAAUAAGUGGAACUAGUCGGUUUCUGAAGCAAAGAAGAUGGCCAGGACUCCUUGCUGAUAGAUGGGAGCCAGAUAGAGUUGGUAGAGCUACCCAGUUCUACUCACUACUCUACCCAAGACACUUGCUGUUGGAUGGAAGCUGUCUGGUUUCAGUACAUACCUAAAUAUGCUGAGCCAGGCACGCCUUACUGCUGGAUAGGAGCUGUCUUAAGUUGCUA